rnacentral:rRNA from 1 species
UGAGCAAUCUGCCCUUCUCUUUGGAAUAAGCGUUGGAAACGACGUCUAAUGCCGAAUACGACCUCCUUUCGCAUGAUCGGAGGUGGAAAGCUCCGGCGGAGAAGGAUGAGCUCGCGGCCUAUCAGCUAGUUGGUGUGGGUAAUGGCCCACCAAGGCGACGACGGGUAGCCGGCCUGAGAGGGUGACCGGCCACACUGGGACUGAGACACGGCCCAGACUCCUACGGGAGGNAGCG